CCGAGUUUACAACUCCCAAACCCCUGUGAACAUACCUUACAGUUGCUUCGGCGGACCACCCUCGCCUCGCCGCGAGGGCCCGCCAGAGGACCCCAAACCCAACUUUGUUUUUGUCUUAUACAACGAAUUCUGAGUGGAUUUUAUAAAUCAAAUCA
rnacentral:misc_RNA from 1 species